rnacentral:misc_RNA from 1 species
GGAGGCAUGCGCUUGUGGAAUAUCUUGUGCCAUGGGUGAGCUUUAAUCUGAGGGAACUUAAAUUCAGUGUAAUUUGGAUUCAUACACUUAAUUUCUUCCCUGGUUGGUGUUCCCAGAACCUUAAUAAUUUCCACCAGCUGAUCAACACCACUUUCCCCAGGAAACAGUGGCUGACCAAGAAGAAGUUCAGCCAAUACACAACCAGCAGACCACAUAUCAAUUGCAGUUGUGUAUGCUGUAGCCCCAAAUAUAAGCUCUGGUGCCCUAUAAUAUCGUGAACAAAUAUAAGAUAUGUUGGGUUCACCUGGCACCAGCUUCUUUGCACUUCCAAAAUCACAUAUCUUUAGCUGGUGUGUAUGGGGAUUGACCAGUAAAUUUUGUGGCUUAAUAUCUCGAUGACAUACACCAACUACAUGAUGCAAGUAACUUAGGCCACGACAGAUCUGGUAAGCAUACAGUUGCACAUAUAAAAUAGGCAUGUGUUGGUGGUUCAUCUUGCUAUAGUGCCUAGAUAUUCGGUAGACAGUCUCAGGUAUAUACUCCAGGACAAGGUUAAGAUAUAGUUCUUCUUUCUCAGUAGUUGAAAAGAAGCAAUGCUUCAGUUCAACAACAUUAGGAUGGUCAAGUAAGCGCAUGACUUGAAGUUCUCUAUUUUUGUAUCUUCUAUCCUGCAGCACCUUCUUUAUUGCAACUGCUUCACCAGUUUCCAACCACUUAGCCUGAUAGACAACACCAAAUGAACCUGUACCAACCACACGCUCUGCCAUAAAGGAGAUUGUCUGGGACAAUAAACAACUAAACUUUUAGCAGGAUUGUCUCCAAAAUCCAUACAGUAUAUAAACCAAAACAUAGGCCUAUGGUUGUGAAGUAAAUAUAGUAUCACAAAGAUCUUAAGGAUUAUAACCUUCAACCUUUACGGCAUUCAUGGUAUAUUAUCAUCAAAAUUUGGACAAGAAUGAAAAUGAUAAAGCCUGAAAUAUCAAUGAAUGACUCAACCAAAAACCUUAUGUUUGUAGGCAAGGGCUCUAGAAUAAUCUUCCUAUUAUAUCUCUAAAAUGCUGAUAUUUAAUUAAUAAUAUGAGGGUACAAUGAUUCAAGCUCUGUACAUUUUUAUCAAAAAGACUCUAAAAACCAUGUCAAAUGAAGCUUAAGUUUGUGUGUGUGUAGAGAGAAGGGAUGAGAGAGAGAGAGAGAGAUGCAGAAGUUUACAAUACCAAGUAUUUGAUUGAAGUGCACAAUAAACCAUGAAAAGGAAGCAACUCAUUUGAAAAAGAUGAAGAUCUAAUAAAAGCAAAGUAUCUGGUGAGCAAGUGAAGUUCAAGAACAAAAAAAUGCACAAUUAGAAAAUGCUAACAUAGUAAUUUAAGAACAAGGCAAGGAAAAGAAUGCAAUGUAACAGUCAAUAAGGAAACACAACAAGAGUUAAACAGAAUAAUUAACUAACCUGUUUUGGUUGUCCAUUCCGACCACCCACUGUUGUUGCAAUUAUAUGACCAGUUUCUGUUCCAUUACCACUCACAAUGGAAGCUUCCAUAUCCUUUUCACCAUGGUUGGUCCGUCUAUCAUCAUGAUUGUUCGCUUUGUCAUCAUGAUUGGUCGAUUUGUCAUCCUUGAUCCUCAUUUCAUUCAUUUCUUUGGGAAGCUGAUCAUAGCCUGAAUUUUCUCUUCUGGCCAUUGAAGAUGGUUUGGAUGUGCUUGCAGCAUUUUCCAGUGACGUAGAAGCCAUAUGCUGCUCCAGACAUGUGGCACUUCUCUCAUCUAAGCAUAAUUCCCCCUCAAUUUUCUGCUCUGUUUCUUGAUCAACCUUCACUCUCUUUGUCAAAGAGUCCCCACCAGGAUCAGAUGAUAUAGAAGUGCGACCAGAAGCAAUGCUUUUUAAUCGACGCAUCACAUUCAUGGUUUCUGUCUCCGCCAAAACAAAAUAGUAAUCUCCCCUUCAAUCCCCAAACCAACAAAAAAUAAAAAUAAAACUCAAAAUUUCCCAAAAAAAAUUGGAAAAAAAAAAACCGCUAAGCAAGCAGAGAAGAAAGAACUGAACCUCCUUCUCUCUCCUCCGCGUUCAACAGAGAGAGAGAGAAGGAAUUUUGAAAAUAAAAAAUAAUUAAAAAAAAUAAAGUAAACACGAGCUCGCUACAAAAUCCCUCGGUUUUAUGUUCUCUCUCUCUCUCUCUACAAAAUUUCCUUUUUCCAUUGGUGGAUUGCAAGAAGAUUUUUCCGUUGUCAAAGCUCGACCAAGCCUAUCAUUUUCUAAGCUUCAAUUUUUUUUUUUUUUACUUCAGUCAAACGAUGAUUCCUCGCCGUCGAUGGGUCAUUAUUUUGAUCGGACGGUUACUGGUUGAAGUUAU